rnacentral:rRNA from 1 species
CCUACGGGGGGCUGCAGUGGGGAAUAUUGCACAAUGGGCGCAAGCCUGAUGCAGCCAUGCCGCGUGUGUGAAGAAGGCCUUCGGGUUGUAAAGCACUUUCAGCGGGGAGGAAGGCGGUGAGGUUAAUAACCUUAUCGAUUGACGUUACCCGCAGAAGAAGCACCGGCUAACUCCGUGCCAGCAGCCGCGGUAAUACGGAGGGUGCAAGCGUUAAUCGGAAUUACUGGGCGUAAAGCGCACGCAGGCGGUCUGUCAAGUCGGAUGUGAAAUCCCCGGGCUCAACCUGGGAACUGCAUUCGAAACUGGCAGGCUAGAGUCUUGUAGAGGGGGGUAGAAUUCCAGGUGUAGCGGUGAAAUGCGUAGAGAUCUGGAGGAAUACCGGUGGCGAAGGCGGCCCCCUGGACAAAGACUGACGCUCAGGUGCGAAAGCGUGGGGAGCAAACAGGAUUAGAUACCCGUGUAGUC